GAGUUUGAUCAUGGCUCAGAACGAACGCUGGCGGCGUGGAUAAGACAUGCAAGUCGAACGGGAUUAUUUUUGUAGCAAUACAGAAAUAAUUCAGUGGCGAACGGGUGCGUAACACGUGGGCAAUCUGCCGAAAAGUGGGGGAUAGCUCGCCGAAAGGCGAAUUAAUACCGCAUGUGGUGAGGGACGACAUCUUCCUGAAUCCAAAGCCGGGGCAACCUGGCGCUUUUUGAGGAGCCCGCGGCCUAUCAGCUAGUUGGCGGGGUAACGGCCCACCAAGGCUAUGACGGGUAGCUGGUCUGAGAGGACGACCAGUCACACUGGAACUGAGACACGGUCCAGACACCUACGGGUGGCAGCAGUCGAGAAUUUUUCUCAAUGGGGGAAACCCUGAAGGAGCGACGCCGCGUGGAGGAUGAAGGCUUUCGGGUUGUAAACUCCUGUCAUUUGGGAACAAGUUGUACGUGUUUACUGCACGUGCAUUGAUAGUACCAGAAGAGGAAGGGACGGCUAACUCUGUGCCAGCAGCCGCGGUAAUACAGAGGUCCCAAGCGUUGUUCGGAUUCAUUGGGCGUAAAGGGUGCGUAGGUGGCGCCGUAAGUCGGGUGUGAAAUUUCGGAGCUUAACUCCGAAACUGCAUUCGAUACUGCGG
rnacentral:rRNA from 1 species